ensembl:lncRNA
CCACGAACUAUGUUUAGAAAUCUUUCGAUCUUUGACCUGCUGCACUUUCACUGCAAGAUUAAAGCCCGGCGGUGAGGUCGACGGGCGUGGUUCUACUUUUCCGUGGCGGGCUGUAAAAAACACUGAUGUUGACAGGAGAUAAAAUACCAGAUUAAUGAAGAGCCAUAACGCCGUCAGUGUGACAAGCGGAGCAGCGAUGGUGACACAGAUGAAGACGUAGGACAGCGAAGGCACAUCUUCAUCAUCAGCUGGGCCGCGUGGCUCGUCUACAAGAAGAAGAAGAAGCACGUAGAUCCAGUCUUUACCCAAUGAAAUUGUUGGACAGGACACCGGACCGUCACGGGUCGCUGGGGGACAGUUUUCACCGUUGUGCCUCUUGGGACCAGCACCUCAACAUCACAAGGAAACACGUCUAAAACAAAAAAGAAAUCACAUUUCCCCCAAAAGUCAGUUUAUUUUAUCUUCAAUCAUUAACAUCAACACCUUUGACGUUUGUAAUCACAGUUUUCAUGUUUCCUGCGAU